rnacentral:rRNA from 1 species
GAUGAACGCUGGCGGCGUGCCUAAUACAUGCAAGUCGAGCGAACGGACGAGAAGCUUGCUUUUCGGAUGUUAGCGGCGGACGGGUGAGUAACACGUGGAUAACCUACCUAUAAGACUGGGAUAACUUCGGGAAACCGGAGCUAAUACCGGAUAAUAUUUUGAACCGCAUGGUUCAAAAGUGAAAGACGGUCUUGCUGUCACUUAUAGAUGGAUCCGCGCUGCAUUAGCUAGUUGGUAAGGUAACGGCUUACCAAGGCAACGAUGCAUAGCCGACCUGAGAGGGUGAUCGGCCACACUGGAACUGAGACACGGUCCAGACUCCUACGGGAGGCAGCAGUAGGGAAUCUUCCGCAAUGGGCGAAAGCCUGACGGAGCAACGCCGCGUGAGUGAUGAAGGUCUUCGGAUCGUAAAACUCUGUUAUUAGGGAAGAACAUAUGUGUAAGUAACUGUGCACAUCUUGACGGUACCUAAUCAGAAAGCCACGGCUAACUACGUG